UGAAUUACUUGUUUUUCGUUUCUUGUAAAAAAAAAAAAUGAAAAAGGAGCUGUUUUCUAUUUUUUCUACUUUCAAUAUUAAAGCAAUAAACAAGUGAACGCUCGAUGACCGAUUUUGGUUUUCUAAUUUCAAAAGGAAAAUCCGUUGGCCGCCAAGUACACGGACCGUCCAGAUAUCCAUUUGAGUUUAAUUAGUUGUUCAGCUGAAUAAAGACUACCUUUUCAAUAAUCUUGCCUAUAAAAGCUUCUUUUUGUAUAUUGUCAGUUGAAUCUGUCUGACCUCUGCAUAAUUUGUCGGAUGUGCUAAUUCGCCUUCCUGAUAGUAUUGAUCUGCUCAGAAACCAUUAGCAUGUGUAGCUAUUGCUUCACCAAGUUUUUAUGUUGUUUACACAAUGGAUGUCCUGCACUCUCUCUCCUUUUUUUUUCUGUUUACAGGUUGAUCUGUGUAUCAACGUGUUUUUGUUUUUCUUAAAUGCAUUAAAUGCAACUCAGAAUAACUAAUGGUUUAUUGCUUAUGUUACAUGAGAAAAUUGUUUUGUUUACCUCAUGCAGGAAAUUUAGUGUUAGGAGAUUUGCGACUUUGUGUUCUGUUUUGUGGGCCUGUCACUCAAAUUGUGAAGUAUUAUUAGCCUUUUAGAAAUUUAAAGUGUAAAUUUCAGGUGAUUUGUUGACAAAUGAGACAUUAUAGGUCACAUUAUGCACAGGGGUUAUUUUAUAGAAACCUUUAGGUUACAACCUAUGGGCCAUUUAUGGUUUUUUUGGCCAUAAAAUAAAAAUGCUAAACAGUAUCAACCCUAACUUUAAUAUCAGUAUAUACCUAGUUAUUCAUUUGUAGAAUUAGCAAGUUUCUGAUAGACUAAACCGUCUUUGGGUUUUCUUCAUUAAUUCAUUUAUUUAUCCAUCCAGCAGCUCCAAACCACCAAGUACUGAUGGCCAGCCAUGUUUCUCACCUUCAAGAAAAAGGAUGAACCCUUCUUCAGACUCUUCAUCUCAGUCUGCUUCACAGGUACAGUCUGUAUCUUCAUCUGAAGCAUCAUUGGUCUCAACUACGGACACUGACCUUCAUGCCCAGGCAGCUUCAAAAGAUGAGCCAAUUCAGGGCGAUGACACCCAUGCAGAGGCUGGCAUGUCAGGUCUUCAGGGCAACAACAACAACAACAAUCUCAGCCUCCAUGUUGGUGAUGGUCACACAAGUCCACACAGGUUAAAGGAAGAGUUCAGGUGCAGUGAAGGAGAAAGCAAAGAGUCAAAGCCAUCACACUUAGAUAAGUUUGGCUCUGGAGAUGGACGGAGCGAGGACCGGAAUAGGGUUUUAGAGCGCCCACACUUUUCUUCAGCUGUGAAAGACAGGGACCGGUAUAGACACUAUAGGGAAUACAACGAAAGAAGCCGGAGUCGCUAUGGUCAUAGCUAUCGCGAGAGUCGUUCUUUUAGAGAGCGUUCCACCAGUAGAGACCGGCAUCACAGAGAUCACUGGGACAGAUUCUCACAUCACCGUCGAGAGCACCAUCAUUCCCAAAGAAGACCCAGAGAGGAACGCAACCGGAGUAGGGAUAGGAGAUUUGUGAGUGACUCUUAUCGUCCUUCUGGACACAAUAACCGAGAUGGAUAUUCCAGUCACAGCCAUCGUGGGGUGGACGGUGGCUAUGGAAGGAUGUCCCAUACAGUGAAUGGUUCAAAAGUAAGACCCUCAUCUCCACGUUCUGUCAGCCCACUGCCUGGACAUUACAAGCGGAAACGCAGUCCAUCGGCUGAUGCAAGACAAAGCUCUGAUGAGUGCAGAGCGAAGAAAUACAAAAAGAAAAAGAGAAACAAAGAAAAGCACAGGCCCUCAGAGAAGGACCCAUCUGAGGGCAUUGAGGAUAGCAGCUUCAAGAGACAUAAAAAGAAGAAAAAGAAAAAGAAGAGGAGGGAGGAUGAGGAGAGGCCUCACACUAGGAGAGACGUCACUCCAAAGCGGGAAGAGCAUGAUUCUAGAGCUAGGAAUGGUGCAGAGAAAGGAAGUCUGCACCACAGCUCAGAGUCUUUUCGCAAUGUCCACCGAGACCAUACAGAGGACCACCAACAGCUCAAUGGACACAAAGCUAGUGGCCUGAGCUGUUACAGUGGAAGUGAACUUGAGCAUACUGGAAUGGAUAAAGACAAACACAAAUAUUUUGAUCAUUCUACCACUGUCAUAGGCACAAAGACACUCUCAAAUGGAAAUGGAGAUGUGGACGGUGUAUGUCACAGGACUCUUUCAGAUGUUGAAAAAGCCACGCAUCCUCACUAAAAGGGAAGGUGAUUUCUUGAACACAUCUAAG
rnacentral:lncRNA from 1 species